ACGUACACUCCUACGGGAGGCAGCAGUGAGGAAUAUUGGACAAUGGGUGGAAGCCUGAUCCAGCCAUCCCGCGUGCAGGAAGACGGCCCUAUGGGUUGUAAACUGCUUUUAUCUGGGGAUAAACCUACUUACGUGUAAGUAGCUGAAGGUACCAGAAGAAUAAGCACCUGCUAACUCCGUGCCAGCAGCCGCGGUAAUACGGAGGGUGCAAGCGUUAUCCGGAUUUAUUGGGUUUAAAGGGUCCGUAGGCGGACUGAUAAGUCAGUGGUGAAAUCCGACAGCUUAACUGUCGAACUGCCAUUGAUACUGUUAGUCUUGAGUAAGGUUGAAGUGGCUGGAAUAAGUAGUGUAGCGGUGAAAUGCAUAGAUAUUACUUAGAACACCAAUUGCGAAGGCAGGUCACUAAGUCUUAACUGACGCUGAUGGACGAAAGCGUGGGGAGCGAACAGGAUUAGAAACCGGGUAGUCCCAU
rnacentral:rRNA from 1 species